ACUUGGAUAACUGUAGUAAUUCUAGAGCUAAUACAUGAAUAUGUGCUUUGGUUCACGCCAAAUGCGAAUUUAUUAGAUCAAAACCAACCGGUUUCGGCCGUUAAAUUGGUGACUCUGGAUAACUAUUCUGAUCGCAUGACCUUGUGUCGGCGACGUAUCUUUCAAGUGUCUGCCCUAUCAACUUAAGUUGGUGGGUUAGUUGCUCACCAUGGUUAUAACGGGUAACGGAGAAUCAGUGUUCGAUACCGGAGAGGGAGCCUUAGAAACGGCUACCACAUCUGAGGAAGGCAGCAGGCGCGCAAAUUACCCACUCUCAGAACGAGGAGGUAGUGAAUUUAAAUAGCGAUGAUGAACUCUUAUGAGGCUCGUCAAUCGAAAUGAGUACAAUUUAAAUCCUUUAACGAGUACCAAUUGGAGGGCAAGUCUGGUGCCAGCAGCCGCGGUAAUUCCAGCUCCAAUAGCGAAUAUUAAAUUUGUUGCAGUUAAAAAGCUCGUAGUUGGAUCCAAGGUUAGGCAUGCCUGUCUGUUCUUAGUAGCAUGACUGUGUGUGUCUGCCUUUAUUAGUUGAAUGUUCAUUAUGGUGGUCUUCAUCGACUGCUAUGAUGUGCUCAACACGUUUUACCUUGAAAAAAUCAGAGCGAUCAAGGCAGGCCUUCGUGCUUGUAUGUUGUUGCAAGGAAUAAUAGAAUAGGACUUCGGUUCUAUUUUGUUGGUUUUGAGAAUUGAAGUAAUGAACAAUAGAGACAGUCGGGGGCAUUUGUAUGGUGGCGUUAGAGGUGAAAUUCUGAGAUCGUCGCCAGACAAACUACUGCGAAAGCAUUUGCCAAGGAUGUCUUCAUUAAUCAAGAACGAAAGUCAGAGGUUCGAAGACGAUCAGAUACCGUCCUAGUUCUGACCAUAAACGAUGCCGACCUACAAUCGGGGGUGGUUUAUUAUAUUGACCCUCCCGGCUGUCCUCAGGAAACUUUAAGUUGGUUCUGGGGGGAAUAUGGUCUCAAGACUGAAACUUAAAGGAAUUGACGGAAGGGCACCACCAGGAGUGGAGCCUGCGGCUUAAUUUGACUCAACACGGGGAAUCUCACCCGGUCCGGACACUGGUAGGAUGGACAGAUUGAUAGCUCUCUCUUGAUUCAGUGGGUGGUGGUGCAUGGCCGUUCUUAGUUGGUGGAGUGAUUUGUCUGGUUAAUUCCGAUAACGAACGAGACUCUGUCCUGCUAAAUAGUCCAGUGGCAUCAAUCACUAUGUGAUUACAGCUGCUGUUACUUCUUAGAGGGAUUCGCG
rnacentral:rRNA from 1 species